UCCUCAAGUGCCGCCAAAGUGGGAGCCCAGGCAGAGGAGGCGCCGAGAGCCAGAGAGGGCUGUGAGGACUGCCAGCACGCUGUCACCUCUCAGUACCACCAAUAUCAUGAUUAUUGAAUGAGGUUGCCUUGAUUAUUCUGCUGAUCUUGCCUGGCUUUACUAAUGUGCCUGAGGUUGUCUAGAAGAUGAAAUGGAAUGGGUGGAUUUGGUGGAAUAGGUGGAUUCGGUGGAAUGGAUGGAUUCAGUGGAAUGGGUGGAAUAGGAAGACGAAGGCUGGAGUUGGAUAAUGAUCCUUCUAUUAUGAGCUUUGCAUUCAGCACCACUGACAAAUCAUAAAAGAGGGAAGAAACCACAGACGCACAAGAACACAUGAAAAAAAGACUUGCAAACAGAAAAUCA